rnacentral:rRNA from 1 species
GUGCCAGCAGCCGCGGUAAUACGGAGGGUGCGAGCGUUAAUCGGAAUUACUGGGCGUAAAGCGCAUGCAGGUGGUUUGUUAAGUCAGAUGUGAAAGCCCGGGGCUCAACCUCGGAAUAGCAUUUGAAACUGGCAGACUAGAGUACUGGUAGAGGGGGGUAGAAUUUCAGGUGUAGCGGUGAAAUGCGUAGAGAUCUGAAGGAAUUACCGGUGGCGAAGGCCGCCCCCCAGGACAAGAUACUGACACUCAGAUGCGAAAGCGUGGGGAGCAAACAGGAUUAGAUAACCUGGAUAGUCC